rnacentral:lncRNA from 1 species
AUUUAUCUUUUAAAAAUACAGUGCUGUUCAUGGAAUAAUUAAUAACGAUGAGUAAUUGUAUAUCCUCACUAUCAUGAUUCGUAUUGAAGUGUCGACAAGUACAUAUAUACCUUCUAUAUAACGAUUCCCUACUCAUCGGCGUCAGCUUCAGCAUCCACAAUCCAGCUCCUGCUCAUAUCGUUUCUCUCUCGCUCUCUGCAGCAGUUUUUGCUUCCUGCAGGUUGUAGUAUCAGUCAUUCUGUAGAGACUGCUCUUCUAGAUGUGAAACAAUGGUGUAACUCUUGCGGCUCUGCCAGGUUCCGUCCUCCUUUCUUGUGAUCCUUUCUUCGUAUCAUUUUACUUUUCCUCGGUUCUUCUCCAGAAUGCGAGCCUCAACGUUAGCUUUUAGGACUCUCCAGUCUGCCUCAUCUCUCGUUGCCCAACCCUGCACCAUCGAACUCCACAUUUACGUUGAUCGACCCAGGAUCCAUGGAUGCUUUUUCACAGAGCAAUACCUGGUGUAAACAUCUUCCGCUGUCACAUCUUGAAGGGGAUAUUCAAAGUUGUAGCAGAAGCCAACCCCUCUGUACUCUCUUUACCUUCUAACCUUCUUUGAACUCCUCCUUCUCAAGAAUCUUCUCUUUACUUACACCAGGUCCAUAUCCUUUCUCUAUUAGUUCGAAUGCAACAAAAUUUGUCAUGAUACACUCGUGAUCUUGGCAUAGUCUUGGUUACUACAAUCUCCCUGAACUAAUUUGAAGGAUCCAGAAAUGCUCUUUGUAUCAGCGACUCAGAAAACUCAUAACUAAACCAUGUGUGAAUGACCAGCACACCCUACGUAAAUUUCCAGACAGGCAAGGAUCAUCGCUUCAAAACCUCAUAACAUGUGCAGUUGAAAACAUUAUCCAGGACUCUGAUGCGCACCCCGAGAUAAUUUCAACUUUCAGAUUCCUCCGCCUGACAUGUCAAGGAUUGGAGAAAUCCAUCGGAACUACAGCCUUAAUCUCGACGAUAAAAUGCAAUUCUACGUAACUGCAUUACUAGCACAUGCAUUUCUACGUAACUGCAUUCCAACAUUUCAACAUCAAGAAAUCGCCAUAUUGUAACAAAAAAGCCAAAAAAAUAAAUUAAAUUAUAUUAAAAUUAAAAAGGAGAAGAAAAUAGUGAAGCAUACGAUGCAAGUACAGUUCGCCUACCUCAGAAGCUGCUUUUGAAUGUAGAAGCUCCUCCUUCGCCAUGAGCUGAUCAGUACAGAUCAUAUUAUUAACGUCGUCAUCUGCAGCUAUCAUGCCACUCUAAUCACACCAUCGCUAUCGCACAUUUCCGCUAAACUCCGCCCCUGGAUCCGUGCACGAAAUAGAAAGAACAAAGAGUAGAAAUCACC